GUACCUUCAAGCUCUGCUUGGUGUUGGGUGUUUGUCUCGCCUUGUGCGCAGACUCGCCUUAAAGCAAUUGGCAGCCGACGUAUUGUUUCGGAGCGCAGCACAAACUAGCACUCUUACUCUAUACGACAGCAUCCAUCAAGCCUUUUUUCAC
rnacentral:misc_RNA from 3 species